GAUGAACGCUGGCGGCGUGCCUAAUACAUGCAAGUCGAGCGAACAGACGAGGAGCUUGCUCCUCUGACGUUAGCGGCGGACGGGUGAGUAACACGUGGAUAACCUACCUAUAAGACUGGGAUAACUUCGGGAAACCGGCGCUAAUACCGUAUAAUAUAUUGAACCGCAUGGUUCAAUAGUGAAAGACGGUUUUGCUGUCACUUAUCGAUGGAUCCGCGCCGCAUUAGCUAGUUGGUAAGGUAACGGCUUACCAAGGCAACGAUGCGUAGCCGACCUGAGAGGGUGAUCGGCCACACUGGAACUGAGACACGGUCCAGACUCCUACGGGAGGCAGCAGUAGGGAAUCUGCCGCAAUGGGCGAAAGCCUGACGGAGCAACGCCGCGUGAGUGAUGAAGGUCUUCGGAUCGUAAAACUCUGUUAUUAGGGAAGAACAAAUGUGUAAGUAACUAUGCACGUCUUGACGGUACCUAAUCAGAAAGCCACGGCUAACUACGUG
rnacentral:rRNA from 1 species